CAGAGAGAAAAGAAAGGAAAAGAGACUUUUAAAAAGCCUCACACAGCCAGCCUGCAGGCAGCACUUUAAUUACUUCAGAUGGUUUCUUACGUCACUGUUUUCAACUUUAACUCGUGGAUCACAGCUGAUCCGGAUAUGGAGCGGCGGAGCUCCCCUCAGACACUACUAGUCGUUCUCUGAUUCGGCAACGCGUAAUCUACCCUGUCUAUUGAUACUGAAUUUCAAACUCAUUAAAUGCACGCUCGCAGAAGGAAGAAAAUGCCCUCUCUGCCUUCUGUACAUUACCAAGCAUCUAAAUCUAAGGAAACACCGGAACAAAAAGCUAGUCAAAGUGAUCACCGUGAUGUCUGCCGUCCGAUUCACUGAUCCGGCCUCAACCUCCGCCGACAACAAACACCUGAACCUCGUUCUACUGAUCCUCAGUUGCCCGCAUCCUCCACCAAAUGCUGCGAGAUCGAUCAACUUUAGACCAGACAACAAACUACGGAGGCUCCGGAAAAGUGCAAUCAAACGAUGAGUUUUAUUAUCACAGGAGAACAACCAACCGUCAGCAUACGGAAUGGGUUGCUCUGACAAGAAUACAUUGGGUUCUGGUUUUAUAGGAUAAAAUAUCACACCUACGUCAAUACAGUUCAAAAAUACAUGGUGACAGACGGGCAAAAGUUCAACCCGUGCAGACAAGGGUACAUCACGUACAUAUAACCUUACACCGACAUAUAACUUCUCCUUUCUACAUUACUUGCCUUUUAAGGUAAUAACUUCAGGUCUUAGCAUCUCUGAGAGCUAAUAAUGGACCCUCGUCAUUAAUCACUAAGUAGAGUACUUUGCAGCCAGUCUCAAACUGAAGCAGAAGACGCUUAGGCCUUCGCUCAGACCUGCUACUAGAUUAAUAUGUGUAUCGUAAGCGUGCAUGCAAUUAACCUGCUAUGUUCUCAUCUCCCCUCAGCAUGUAUCAUCUGGACACUCUCACCAGUGAAGCUUAAAACCUUCUAGAAUGGAACAUCAACUCUAACCAAGCACAUUUAUGCAUUGUGUAUAAAAUGAACUCAACCUAUAAAAAUAGAAAGGUCAAUGUGAUGACAGACAUAUUCAAUGCAAUAUAAACCCUGUAGGAAAUAUUACUGAUAAAUGAUACUGUGAAACAUGUUAUUAAUACAUUCUUCAUAAGGCAAAUUAUAUGGUAGCAAUAAAAGAAUCUCUGAAUCCCAACAA